rnacentral:rRNA from 1 species
AUGGCCAGCGUCACCGAGCUCGGUGCCAUGAUCUCCGACGCGUGCCAGGAGGCGGAGAAGCUGCCGGGUGCUCUCAUCUCGUGCGGCGUCGUCGAAGCGGCGGCUGCACUCUGCCUGAUCAUCUCCAGCCCGCCCAGAGGUCUGUUUCUCCACCAUGGCAAGGCGCCCCACUACCUGUACUACGGCAUCCUCGUCGCCGUGGUCAUCUUCGGGCUCUUCGAGGCGUCGGCCGGCUUCUGGGUGUCCGGCGACGUGGUCGGACGGCGUGCCGUCGGGAAGACGAUCAUGUGGGUGUCGAUCGUGCCCCUGGUCACCGUGGCUGCGCUCGGAUGGUUGGUCAUCCUGAACGUGAAAUAG